UCCGGCAUGGUCUAGUGGCUAUGAUCUGUCGCUCUCAUCAGUUGAGCAUGAAAACCGACAAGACCCGGGUUCGAUUCCCGGUGCCGGAA